CAACAGACAAAUGAAUAAAUAAAAUGUGGUAUGUUCACCCAAUGGAAUAAAAGGAAACAUUGAUACAUGCCAAAACAUGAAUGAAUUUUAAAAACAUAAGUGAAAUCAUUUAGUCACAAAAGGUCACAUACUAUAUGAUUACAAUCAUAUGAAAGUCUAGAAUAGGGAAAUCUGUUGAGACAGAAUGUAAAUUAGUGAUGUUUAUAGCUGAAAUGAAAGUAGAGAUAGAGGGAUAGAGAAGUGAUGGCUAAAGGAUACACUGUUUCUUCUCAAGGUCAUAAAAAUGUAAUGAAAUUGGUGAUGGUAGCGAUAGAGUGGUUUUGCACUUAUUUAUAAAUUUAUUUCAACAUUUUUAAUAUUCUCAUAUAGUGUGAUAUUUUGAAUUCUCCUUUGAAUUUUUGUAACAUCUUACUUGUUCCUUCAUUAAUUAAUGAGUUAAACGAAAUCUUUGAAACAUUUUCAUUUUAUAUUUGUGUGAGAGCCAUGAAUAUGCCCUCUUUAAAAAUUACCUUUAAAUACUUAUUUUUCUUUCUAAUAUUUAAACAAAACUACAAAAUGAAAUAUAGUAGAUAAAGGAGAUGAAUUUCUGAACAUUUUCUUAUUUUGAGACAUCCUUUUUCUUCUUUCAGCAUAAGAAGGAGUUUGCAUCCAUUGUAGUAUAGUUGGAUUUUUUUAGUUUGAAAAACAAAUCAUGACUUUUUCUUAAUUGGUUUAUUGAAUUCAUUUACUGGUUUACUGAAGACUUUAAAGAGGGCAAAAGAUAUAUUUUGUUAAGAGAUUUGUUAAUUUUGAGAAGUAUCCCAUUG
rnacentral:lncRNA from 1 species